rnacentral:lncRNA from 1 species
AUGUUGAAGUUAAAGACAAAUGAGAAAGUGGGAGACGAGGCUUUUCUGCCUGGGACACACGAAAGACCCGGGGCUAACUUCCCUAAUAAACGAAGAAUUCUUGGAAACCGAUACCGUACAGACCAAAUCGCGCCUGAAAAAUGGGCAAAAAGGGAGGACACUGGCAAUUCACAGAAAAGCACAAAUGGCCGACAGACCUGCGGGACAGAACUCAUGACCCGACUUCCAAAGACCGAAAAACCGAGAGCGCGACUCGCGCGCUUCAGCGGCCGCUCUCCUCACGCGGCCGCGCGUGCCGCCGCCGGGCCGGUCCACCGCCGUCCAGCCGGACGGUUGAUGUGCGGGGCGCAUCGCCGCCUGAGGACCUGUGCGGCGGGAAACGCGGUGGCACCGCGCGGGACAGACGACCAUCGAGGACUCGGUUGUCAGUCACACCGUCGGUCAGGCCGAAGCGUGCAGCCACGACCCGAUUCCGCAGGUCACCAUAGUCUCCGUGUGGAUGGCACCUCCAGCCAUCGAGAAGCUGGAAACGGGGCUGCAGAGACCUGGUUUCCUGUGAAGUCGAUUGCGGACGUGGGACAGCGGCACGCACUCCGGUUGGGGUUCAGUGGGCCGCAGCCCACCCCAGAAGGCCUCAGCUCUCCCCACGGGGGUGUUCCACAGUCUGCCUGCAGCGGCUCCACAUGCAAGGACCUGCCUUGGUUUCGUCCUUAGAAACGUCGCCAGCAUCCGGUGCAGAGUGUCACAGAGCCUUGGUUUGCAUCUGAUAUGGGUGAGUACAUGAAUGGAUGAUUUUUUUUUUUCCUGAAAAUUGGCGUUGAGGCGUCUACUCGUACAUUUAUCCUGCCUUUUCACUGAACGUAUUAUGACAUCUGAUGUUCCUCAAGAGACAAGAGCUUUUAGGCGGAAAGAGUUCAUUUCAUGCAGUGAUCACGUGCAUGCGUCGUAUACACUUGUCGCCAAGUUCUUGCCGUCCCAAAGAGCUGAUAACUGCUCUGUAGAUUUCUGAAUAUUGUGAAUGUUCAUAGACUUUAGAUUCCCAGAAAUGGACUUGCUAGAUCAAAGCACACACACACUUAUGUAUUUAUAAAUGCAUUUUUACUUGAAGGAUAAUUGCUUUGCACUAUUGUGUUGGUCUCUGCCAUACAUCAACAUGAAUCAGCCAUAGGUUUACUUAUGUCCUCUCCCUCUGAACCUCCCUGGUGCCUCCCACCCCAUCCCGCCCCUCUGGGUCGUCCCAGAGCACAGGGUUUGAGCUCCCUGUGUCACACAGCAGGUUUCCACUGGCCGUCUAACUUUACACAUGGUAGUGUCGAUGUUUUGGUACUACUCUCAAUGCAUCCCACCAGCUCCUUCCCCGGCUGCUGUGUCCACAGUCUGCUCUCUACGUCUGUAUCUCCACCGCCGCCCUGCAGAUAGGUUCAUCGGUCCCAUCUUUCUGGACUCCAUAUAUAGCGCUAAUAUGUGUUAUUUGUCUUUCAACCUCUUUCUGACUUACUUCACUCUGUAUAACAGGCUCUAGGCUCACCCAUCUCGUCAGAACUGAGUCAGAAGCAUUCCUUUUUAUGGCCGAGUGAUAUUCCAUUGUGUGUAUGAACCGCAGCUUCUUUACCCACUCAUCUGUCACUGGACGUCUGGGUUGCUUCCAUGUCCUAGAUGCUGUAGAUGCAAGGCACACACACGUUUUAGGCUGUGGUCCCUAUGACCACAAUCGUGCUCGACCACCAGCAUUUGAGAAUGUCCGUUUCCUUGGAACCUUCCUGACUUCCCUCCACGUUGGCACUUGGACACGUCGCCUUCCCCGAGCCCUGCUGCGCCGGGCGUCUGUUUUGAUAUCAGAACUGUGAUGCGGGGUCUGUGUUGUGUUUAUCGCACAUGUGAACAUCCUCCUGUAAACAGUCGAUUCACAUCCUUUGCCCACUUUUCUACUUUGAGUGUUCAGCUUUCUCUCUGACGUGGCUCUUCACGUACUGGUGAAAUAAAGCCCUCUACUGUCGCCUCUGUUUCUACA